rnacentral:rRNA from 1 species
UCCGUGUGAUACGGUGACCGUGCUUUGCUUUUCGCCUCAUGUCUUUCUUAUUCAGGUGGCUAUAGCGCCGGGGCUCCACCUCUUCCCAUUCCGAACAGAGAAGUUAAGCCCGGCCGCGCCGAUGGUACUGCGUAACAGUGGGAGAGUAGGUAGCCGCCACUU